rnacentral:rRNA from 1 species
UGAGGAAUAUUGGUCAAUGGACGCGAGUCUGAACCAGCCAAGUAGCGUGAAGGAUGACUGCCCUAUGGGUUGUAAACUUCUUUUAUAUGGGAAUAAAGUGGUCCACGUGUGGACUUUUGUAUGUACCAUAUGAAUAAGGAUCGGCUAACUCCGUGCCUGCAGCCGCGGUAAUACGGAGGAUCCGAGCGUUAUCCGGAUUUAUCGGGUUUAAAGGGAGCGUAGGCGGAUUGUUAAGUCAGUUGUGAAAGUUUGCGGCUCAACCGUAAAAUUGCAGUUGAUACUGGCAGUCUUGAGUGCAGUAGAGGUGGGCGGAAUUCGUGGUGUAGCGGUGAGAUGCUUAGAUAUCACGAAGAACUCCGAUUGCGAAGGCAGCUCACUGGAGUGUAACUGACGCUGAUGCUCGAAAGUGUGGGUAUCAAACAGGAUUAGAUACCCUGGUAGU